AUACGGAGGGUGCAAGCGUUAUUCGGAAUCACUGGGCGUAAAGGACGCGUAGGCGGGUUGGCAAGUCAGAUGUGAAAUCCUACAGCUUAACUGUAGAACUGCAUUUGAAACUGCUAACCUAGAGUAUGGGAGGGGGAGAUGGAAUUAGUGGUGUAGGGGUAAAAUCCGUAGAUAUCACUAGGAAUACCGAAAGCGAAGGCGAUCUCCUGGAACAUAACUGACGCUAAGGCGUGAAAGAGUGGGGAGCAAACAGGAUUAGAUACCCUAGUAGUCC
rnacentral:rRNA from 1 species